UCCGUAGGUGAACCUGCGGAGGGAUCAUUACCGAGUUAUACAACUCCCAAACCCACUGUGAACCUUACCUCAGUUGCCUCGGCGGGAACGCCCCGGCCGCCUGCCCCCGCGCCGGCGCCGGACCCAGGCGCCCGCCGCAGGGACCCCAAACUCUCUUGCAUUACGCCCAGCGGGCGGAAUUUCUUCUCUGAGUUGCACAAGCAAAAACAAAUGAAUCAAAACUUUCAACAACGGAUCUCUUGGUUCUGGCAUCGAUGAAGAACGCAGCGAAAUGCGAUAAGUAAUGUGAAUUGCAGAAUUCAGUGAAUCAUCGAAUCUUUGAACGCACAUUGCGCCCGCCAGCAUUCUGGCGGGCAUGCCUGUUCGAGCGUCAUUUCAACCCUCGAGCCCCCCCGGGGGCCUCGGUGUUGGGGGACGGCACACCAGCCGCCCCCGAAAUGCAGUGGCGACCCCGCCGCAGCCUCCCCUGCGUAGUAGCACACACCUCGCACCGGAGCGCGGAGGCGGUCACGCCGUAAAACGCCCAACUUUCUUAGAGUUGACCUCGGAUCAGGUAGGAAUACCCGCUGAACUUAAGCAUAUCAAUAAGCGGAGGA
rnacentral:sRNA from 1 species